GUGGGGAAUAUUGCACAAUGGGCGCAAGCCUGAUGCAGCAACGCCGCGUGGGGGAUGACGGCCUUCGGGUUGUAAACCUCUUUUAGUAGGGAAGAAGCGAAAGUGACGGUACCUGCAGAAAAAGCACCGGCUAACUACGUGCCAGCAGCCGCGGUAAUACGUAGGGUGCAAGCGUUGUCCGGAAUUAUUGGGCGUAAAGAGCUCGUAGGCGGUUUGUCGCGUCUGCUGUGAAAUCCCGAGGCUCAACCUCGGGCCUGCAGUGGGUACGGGCAGACUAGAGUGCGGUAGGGGAGAUUGGAAUUCCUGGUGUAGCGGUGGAAUGCGCAGAUAUCAGGAGGAACACCGAUGGCGAAGGCAGAUCUCUGGGCCGCUACUGACGCUGAGGAGCGAAAGCAUGGGGAGCGAACAGGAUUAGAUACCCCUGUAGUCC
rnacentral:rRNA from 1 species